ACAUGACCUUUGCAAGUGCAGACUGCUGUCACCUGAGCAGCCACCUGUGUAAUCUGCCCGUCUGUUUAACUGCCCUAAGACUUUAUUCAGACCUGAUUCAAGGUCGAUGGUGAUUAUUCAGGUGAUCAUCGACCAUACCUACCCUGAGGGAGAAUUUUUAGAAGUGCAGGGGUGGGUAUUUAUUCCUCAGUUUUUAUUCUGACCAUCUCUAACUACAGCAACCUGCUAAGUGGAGAUUAUUAAAGCACAAGAACUUGACUGUGGUGGUUCCUGUACAAUGUACCAAGGGGAGCUGAGGAGCUCGGACCAAACCUAAAUGCACAUUUGCAGGUUGGGCCAGAGCUCAUUCCUGAGCAUUAAAAGCUGCUCCAGAUUAGGCAGAUGAGUUCAGGUAGCUGACACAAAGAUAUUCUGGAUGGCAGGUUUUUAUGCUGUUAUUGACAAUAUAUCUCAUUAGAAUAUGUGAAGGAACCUGAAAGCUUAGGAGCACCCCCAAAGUCCAUGGAAUGACUCCAGUGUCAACCAGGAAUGAACCAAACAGGCUGAGCUGCCUCACCUGCACUCACAGUCUGGUGUUGCUGACAGGAAACCUUUCAAACCCAUAAAGAGAAACUUUCAAUCUCAGCUUGCUGUGUGCUUUCCCUUCUGCUCUUCCAGGUCCCCAUGGCUGGUAUCCAGGAAAUACAUGAAAAAGCCACAAGUAUCAAAUAAAAAAUAUUGAUUUUAAUAUCUCUGUCUUGAGCAGCCUCUUGUGUGCUUUAUAUCCGAAGAGUCUUUUAUACUGAUAACAUUUUUGAAACAGACUGAGAAUAGAAGUUCAGUGUAAAUAAGGGACUAUAAAAGCUUUGUGUGGUCUUUAUUUACUUGAAAGAAUUAUCUCAGUGCUUAAAAGGAAUAUUUGGACAAUGU